CUGCGCCGAAAAUGUACCGGGGCUAAACAUAUUACCGAAGCUGUGGAUUGUCCUUUGGACAAUGGUAGGAGAGCGUUCUAAGGGCGUUGAAGCAUGAUCGUAAGGACAUGUGGAGCGCUUAGAAGUGAGAAUGCCGGUGUGAGUAGCGAAAGACGGGUGAGAAUCCCGUCCACCGAUUGACUAAGGUUUCCAGAGGAAGGCUCGUCCGCUCUGGGUUAGUCGGGUCCUAAGCUGAGGCCGACAGGCGUAGGCGAUGGAUAACAGGUUGAUAUUCCUGUACCACCUAUAAUCGUUUUAAUCGAUGGGGGGACGCAGUAGGAUAGGCGAAGCGUGCGAU
rnacentral:rRNA from 1 species